CCAAUAGCGUAUAUUAAAGUUGUUGCAGUUAAAAAGCUCGUAGUUGAAUUUCGGGGUUAGUAGGUUGGUCAUGCCUCUGGUAUGUACUGGUCUCACUGAUUCCUCCUUCCUGAUGAGCCGUAAUGCCAUUAAUUUGGUGUUGCGGGGAAUUUGGACUGUUACUUUGAAAAAAUUAGAGUGUUUAAAGCAGGCUAACGCUUGAAUACAUUAGCAUGGAAUAAUGAAAUAGGACGUUCGAUCCUAUUUUGUUGGUUUCUAGGAUUGACGUAAUGAUUAAUAGGGAUAGUUGGGGGCAUUAGUAUUCAAUUGUCAGAGGUGAAAUUCUUGGAUUUAUUGAAGACUAACUACUGCGAAAGCAUUUGCCAAGGAUGUUUUCAUUAAUCAAGAACGAAAGUUAGGGGAUCGAAGACGAUCAGAUACCGUCGUAGUCUUAACCAUAAACUAUGCCGACUAGGGAUCGGAUGAUGUUAAUUUUUUAAUGACUCAUUCGGCGCCUUACG
rnacentral:rRNA from 1 species